rnacentral:lncRNA from 1 species
GGUGUUGGUAGAGUCUCGGUGUUUCUACCUCUUAGCACCCUUUCCUGCCACCCUUUGUCCUGUGGAAGCCCGGAGACAUCAGCGGCUGCAAUUUUGCUACUCGCUGCUCGGCAUGGAACGGUCAGGUACCGCAGUUCAGCGCUCUUGGCCCCGCAGGACAAAAAAUAAUAUCCAAAGAUAUUUUGGCACUAACAGCGCUAUCUGUAGCAAGAAAGUUGAGCAGUGUGAACUGUUGAGACUUCCAAGAAGACUUCAGAGAACCAAGACAGUGUAAAGGAAAACAGGAAAAAAGACUUGUUAGACAUUAUUAAGGGCACGAAAGUUGAAUUGAGCACAGUAAAUGUACAAACAACAAAGCCACCCAACAGAAGUCCACUUAAAAGCUACAACUGGCCCGCCUCAAAGAGCUACAGAGCAUGCUCCAAAGAAGAGAAAUGAGCCCGUGAGUCCUGAGUUGGUGGCAGCUGCAUCUGCUGCUCUGUUUUGACAAGCAAACAAGCCAGAACUGCUCAGGCAGCUCCGUAGCAUGAGGAAGAGUCAGGGGCACAGAGAGAUGGAGAGAGACCUAGUUAGUAACAAAAUAUGAGAUACGAAAAUUGCCAAAUGUGCUACAGCUAGAGUUAAUAUAAGACCAGAGCAUCAGAUUCAGUUUGACAAAGGCUAUGACAAUUAUCCUGGCUAGGAGAAGACCGCUGAUCUUAGAAACAGAGAAAAACAUAUUCAAGGGGAAGAGAUGUAAUAGUUUUGACGUGACGACAGUUACUAAAGAAGCACCUGAACAGACACAUCACCUUCACUUUGGGAUGUGGAAUUUGCUAAAUAAGCCACAGAAAAUGAACAUCCCUUCAGAAUGGGUUUGAAGAGCUGAUCCAGUGGAUUAAAGAGGGGAAACUGGGAGUUUCCAAUUAACAAUGAAGCAG